rnacentral:rRNA from 1 species
AGUGGAUGGGGAGCAACCUAGUUGUGCGUGUGUAAAGGUAGUGCCAAGAAAAGCGGUGAUCAUGAUGAAAAUCAAUUCCCGGUACCCGAAACCGACACAGGUGGGCAAGUAGAGAAUACUAAGGGGCGCGAGGUAACUCUCUCCAAGGAACUCGGCAAAAUGACCCCGUAACUUAGGGAGAAGGGGUGCCACCGAGAGGUGGUCGCAGUGAAGAGGCCCAGGCGACUGUUUAGCAAAAACAUAGGUCUCUGCAAACUCGAAAGAGGAGGUAUAGGGGCUGACGCCUGCCCAGUGCCGGAAGGUUAAAGAAGUUGGUCAGUCUUAGGAUAAAGCUAGCGACUGAAGCCCCGGUGAACGGCGGCCGUAACUAUAACGGUCCUAAGGUAGCGAAAUUCCUUGUCGGGUAAGUUCCGACCCGCACGAAAGGCGUAACGAUCUGGGCGCUGUCUCGGAGAGAGGCUCGGCGAAAUAGGAUUGUCUGUGAAGAUACGGACUACCUGCAUUUGGACAGAAAGACCCUAUGAAGCUUUACUAUAGCUUGGAAUUGUGUUCGGGCUUCCUGUGCGCAGGAUAGGUGGGAGGCGAAGAAGGUAUUCUUGUGGGGAUACUGGAGCCAACGGUGAGAUACCACUCUCAGGAGGCUAGAAUUCUAACUUAAUUAAGGACAGUUUCAGGUGGGUAGUUUGACUGGGGCGGUCGCCUCCAAAAAGGUAACGGAGGCGUACAAAGGUUCCCUCAGACUGGUUGGAAAUCAGUCGCAGAGUGCAAAGGCAGAAGGGAGCUUGACUGCGAGAAGUACAGUUCGAGCAGGGUGGAAACACGGUCUUAGUGAUCCGACGGUGCUGUGUGGAAGGGCCGUCGCCCAACGGAUAAAAGUUACUCUAGGAUAACAGGCUGAUCUCCCCCAAGAGUUCACAUCGACGGGGAGGUUUGGCACCUCGAUGUCGGCUCAUCGCAACCUGGGGCGGAAGUACGUCCCAAGGGUUGGGCUGUUCGCCCAUUAAAGCGGUACGUGAGCUGGGUUCAGAACGUCGUGAGACAGUUCGGUCCAUAUCCGAUGUAGGCGUGAGAAUAUUGAGAGGAGCCUUCCUUAGUACGAGAGGACCGGGAAGGACGCAUCGCUGGUGUACCUGUUAUGAUGCCAAUUGUAAACGCAGGGUAGCCAAGUGCGGAGAGGAUAACCGCUGAAAGCAUCUAAGUGGGAAGCCCAUCUCAAGAUGAGUAUUCUGGUGUAAGGUCACGGGAAGACGACCCGUAAAUAGGCACGAGGUGGAAGUGCAGAGAUGUAUGAAGCCGAAGUGUACUAAUAGACCGUCGGCUU